UACGUAGGGUGCAAGCGUUGUCCGGAAUUAUUGGGCGUAAAGAGCUCGUAGGCGGUUUGUCGCGUCGGCUGUGAAAACCUAGGGCUCAACUCUGGGCUUGCAGCCGAUACGGGCAAACUAGAAUUCGGUAGGGGAGACUGGAAUUCCUGGUGUAGCGGUGAAAUGCGCAGAUAUCAGGAAGAACACCAGUGGCGAAGGCGGCUCUCUGGGACGGUACUGACGCUGAGACGCGAAAGCGUGGGGAGCGAACAGG
rnacentral:rRNA from 1 species